UACGAAGGGGGGCUAGCGUUACUCGGAUUGACUGGGCGUAAAGGGCGCGUAGGCGGAUGGUACAGUCAGACGUGAAAUUCCUGGGCUCAACCUGGGGGCUGCGUUUGAUACGUGCUGUCUGGAGUUCGGAAGAGGGUCGUGGAAUUCCCAGUGUAGAGGUGAAAUUCGUAGAUAUUGGGAAGAACACCGGUGGCGAAGGCGGCGACCUGGUCCGAUACUGACGCUGAGGCGCGAAAGCGUGGGGAGCAAACAGG
rnacentral:rRNA from 1 species